UCCGUAGGUGAACCUGCGGAAGGAUCAUUAUCGAAUAAACUAGGUAGACGCUGUUGCUGUCCCUCUCGGGGGAAUCUUGUGCACGCAUCUGCCUUUUUUGUUUAUCCACCUGUGCACACACUGUAGGUCUGGGGGAAGUCUUGUAAGGGAGGUAACUCUCUGAAGGGCUUCAUUCAUUCCCAGGUCCUAUGUAUUUUUACAUAUACACUAUAGAAAGUAACAGAACGAAUCAAUGGGCGUUAGCCUAUAAACUAUAUACAACUUUCAGCAACGGAUCUCUUGGCUCUCGCAUCGAUGAAGAACGCAGCGAAAUGCGAUAAGUAAUGUGAAUUGCAGAAUUCAGUGAAUCAUCGAAUCUUUGAACGCACCUUGCGCUCGUUGGUAUUCCGACGAGCAUGCCUGUUUGAGUGUCAUUAAAUUCUCAACCUCAUCACUUUUGUGAUGAUGGCUUGGAUGUGGAGGUUUUCUGCAGGCUGUCAAAAGUCUGCUCCUCUCAAAUGAAUUAGUGGGUGCCCCGCGCAAACCUAUCUAUUGGUGUGAUAAUUAUCUACGCCGUGGGUUUAAGGAUUGCUGUAAAAAGGUGUUUGCCCUGCUUCUAACCGUCCUGUUAUUGGGACAACUUGAACCAUUUGACCUCAAAUCAGGUAGGACUACCCGCUGAACUUAAGCAUAUCAAUAAGCGGAGGAAAAGAAACUAACAAGGAUUCCCCUAGUAACUGCGAGUGAAGCGGGAAAAGCUCAAAUUUAAAAUCUGGCAGCCUCUGAUUGUCCGAGUUGUAAUCUAGAGAAGCAUUAUCCGCGCUGGACCGUGUACAAGUCUCCUGGAAUGGAGCGUCAUAGAGGGUGAGAAUCCCGUCUUUGACACGGACUGCCAGGGCUUUGUGAUGUGCUCUCAAAGAGUCGAGUUGUUUGGGAAUGCAGCUCAAAAUGGGUGGUAAAUUCCAUCUAAAGCUAAAUAUUGGCGAGAGACCGAUAGCGAACAAGUACCGUGAGGGAAAGAUGAAAAGAACUUUGGAAAGAGAGUUAACACAGUACGUGAAAUUGCUGAAAGGGAAACGCUUGAAGU
rnacentral:rRNA from 1 species